GACGAACGCUGGCGGCGUGCUUAACACAUGCAAGUCGAACGGAAAGGCCCUGCUUGCCGGGUACUCGAGUGGCGAACGGGUGGGUAACACGUGGGUGAUCUGCCCUGCACUUCGGGAUAAGCCUGGGAAACUGGGUCUAAUACCGGAUAGGUGCCAUUUUUAGUGUGAUGGUUGGAAAGUUUUUUCGGUGUAGGAUGAGCUCGCGGCCUAUCAGCUUGUUGGUGGGGUAAUGGCCUACCAAGGCGGCGACGGGUAGCCGGCCUGAGAGGGUGGACGGCCACAUUGGGACUGAGAUACGGCCCAGACUCCUACGGGAGGCAGCAGUGGGGAAUAUUGCACAAUGGGCGCAAGCCUGAUGCAGCGACGCCGCGUGGGGGAUGACGGCCUUCGGGUUGUAAACUCCUUUCGCUAGGGACGAAGCUUUUUGUGACGGUACCUAGAUAAGAAGCACCGGCUAACUACGUG
rnacentral:rRNA from 1 species